rnacentral:misc_RNA from 1 species
GAUGAAGAACGCAGCGAAAUGCGAUAAGUAAUGUGAAUUGCAGAAUUCAGUGAAUCAUCGAAUCUUUGAACGCAUAUUGCGCUCUCUGGUAUUCCGGAGAGCAUGCUUGUUUGAGUAUCAGUAAACACCUCAACUUCCAUAUCUUUUUUGAAAUGGGAGUUGGACUUGAGUGAUCCCAACGCUUUUCCUCACCGAAAAGUGGCGGGUUACUUGAAAUGCAGGUGCAGCUGGACUUUUCUCUGAGCUAUAAGCAUAUCUAUUUAGUCUGCCUAAAAAACAGAUUAUUACCUUUGCUGCAGCUAACAUAAAGGAGAUUAGUUCUUGUGCUGACUGAUGCAGGAUUCACAAAGACAGGCUUCGGCCGACUUUGUAAACUCGAUCUCAAAUCAAGUAAGACUACCCGCUGAACUUAAGCAUAUCAAUAAGCGGAGGA